rnacentral:rRNA from 1 species
UACGGGGGGGGCAAGCGUUGUUCGGAAUUACUGGGCGUAAAGGGUUCGUAGGUGGCUUGUUAAGUCAGACGUGAAAUCCCUCAGCUUAACUGGGGAACUGCGUCUGAGACUGGUGAGCUUGAGUGCAGGAGAGGAACGCGGAAUUCCAGGUGUAGCGGUGAAAUGCGUAGAUAUCGGGAAGAACACCAGUGGCGAAGGCGGCUACCUGGCCUUUUACUGACGCUGAGGCACGAAAGCAUGGGUAGCGAACAGG